GAUCCUGGCUCAGGAUGAACGCUAGCUACAGGCUUAACACAUGCAAGUCGAGGGGAAACGACAUCGAAAGCUUGCUUUUGAUGGGCGUCGACCGGCGCACGGGUGAGUAACGCGUAUCCAACCUGCCCACCACCUGGGAAUAACCUUGCGAAAGUAAGACUAAUGCCCAAUGAUAUCCCACGAAGGCAUCCGAAUGGGAUUAAAGAUUUAUCGGUGAUGGAUGGGGAUGCGUCUGAUUAG
rnacentral:rRNA from 1 species